UACGUAGGGUGCGAGCGUUAAUCGGAAUUACUGGGCGUAAAGCGUGCGCAGGCGGUUUUGUAAGCCAGGUGUGAAAUCCCCGGGCUCAACCUGGGAAUGGCAUUUGGGACUGCAAGGCUGGAGUGCGGCAGAGGAGACUGGAAUUCCUGGUGUAGCAGUGAAAUGCGUAGAUAUCAGGAGGAACACCGGUGGCGAAGGCGGCAUUCUGGACCAUUACUGACGCUGAGGAGCGAAAGCCAGGGGAGCAAACGGG
rnacentral:rRNA from 1 species